rnacentral:lncRNA from 1 species
GUUGUAGGCUGUGUAAUGAUGGCGGCCACUUCCAACAACUUUUGUAAUAAUUAAUGAAAUAAAUCUUUCUGUAGUUAUUAUUGUACUUUUUCCGUUCCAGCCUGACGUCGAAACUUGCAUGCGUUUUUCGCGAUAUUCACACACUCAACGUGGUUUGCGACACCACGUUCCAUUGCAAUUUUUGUUCCUCUUGAUAUCUAUUAACAACCCUCUGAGUUUGUCAGUCCACCUUAACAGAACACCCUGUAUAUCGAUGGUCGCUUCUCUUUUCUGUAAAUUUUCGUCUUACUUUUUUAUCAAAAUUUACUAUUUCGUCAUAUAUUAUCAUUAUUAUUGGAAAAAUAAUUAACUUUAAAUAAACAAAUGUUUGGAAUAUAUAUAGUAAAUUCCCGUAUAACGCGCUACCCUAUAAAGGCCGUGACACACUGAAUGCGACGCGAACCGAAGCGGAGCGAAACAAAGAUGACAGAAACAUUUGCAUCCUUCGCUUCGCGUUGCACUGCACCGUAGGCUGUCUACAUUGCAGUCGAGUUACUUC